AGUGAACGCUGGCGGUAGGCCUAACACAUGCAAGUCGAACGGCAGCACAGUAAGAGCUUGCCCUUACGGGUGGCGAGUGGCGGACGGGUGAGGAAUACAUCGGAAUCUACUUUUUCGUGGGGGAUAACGUAGGGAAACUUACGCUAAUACCGCAUACGACCUACGGGUGAAAGCAGUGGAUCUUCGGACCUUGCGCGAUUGAAUGAGCCGAGGUCGGAUUAGCUAGUUGGCGGGGUAAAGGCCCACCAAGGCGACGAUCCGUAGCUGGUCUGAGAGGAUGAUCAGCCACACUGGAACUGAGACACGGUCCAGACUCCUACGGGAGGCAGCAGUGGGGAAUAUUGGACAAUGGGCGCAAGCCUGAUCCAGCCAUACCGCGUGGGUGAAGAAGGCCUUCGGGUUGUAAAGCCCUUUUGUUGGGAAAGAAAAGCAGCAGGUUAAUACCCCGCUGUUCUGACGGUACCCAAAGAAUAAGCACCGGCUAACUUCGUG
rnacentral:rRNA from 1 species